rnacentral:rRNA from 1 species
CCGGACCGGCGCACGGGUGAGUAACACGUAUGGAACCUGCCCUAUGCAGGGGGAUAAGCGGAAGAAAUUCCGUCUAAUACCGCAUAACACCUUUAGGAGACAUCUUCUUGGGGUCAAAGGAGGCGACUCCGGCAUAGGAUGGCCAUGCGUCGCAUUAGCUAGUCGGCGGGGUAACGGCCCACCGAGGCGACGAUGCGUAGGGGUUCUGAGAGGAAGGUCCCCCACACUGGUACUGAGACACGGACCAGACUCCUACGGAAGGCAGCA